rnacentral:ncRNA from 1 species
AAAAAAACGUUGAUUAAGGCGUAGUAAUGAGGAACUUGCUAUUAAGGGAGAGGGUGUCUAAGACUGGAAGCACUCUUAUAGUUAAACUCAUGAAUUCACCUUGUGAGUGAUGCUAAUCACAUCCGGUUGCGGCCGUUAUCCGUUUUAAGAGGUUAAGAAUUUAUCUUAGCAAUAAAGGUGGUACCGCGUGUGAAACGUCCUUUUU